UGCAAGUCGAUCGGUAACAGGUGUAGCAAUACAUGCUGACGAGAGGCGGACGGGUGAGGAACGCUUGGGAAUCUGCCUAUCAGCGGGGGACAACCCGGGGAAACUCGGGCUAAUACCGCAUACGCUCUACGGAGGAAAGCCGGGGACCGCAAGGCCUGGCACUGAUAGAUGAGCCCAAGUCGGAUUAGCUAGUUGGCGGGGUAACGGCCCACCAAGGCGACGAUCCGUAGCUGGUCUGAGAGGACGAUCAGCCACACCGGAACUGAGACACGGUCCGGACUCCUACGGGAGGCAGCAGUGGGGAAUAUUGGACAAUGGGCGAAAGCCUGAUCCAGCGACGCCGCGUGGGUGAAGAAGGCCUGCGGGUUGUAAAGCCCUUUCGGUAGGGACGAAAGCUCUUGCCCUAACAAGGCAGGAGGUUGACUUAACCUACAUAAGAAGCACCGGCUAACUCUGUGCCAGCAGCCGCGGUAAUACAGAGGGUGCGAGCGUUAAUCGGAAUUACUGGGCGUAAAGCGCACGUAGUCGGCUUGUCAAGUCGGGUGUGAAAUCCCCGGGCUCAACCUGGGAACUGCAUCCGAGACUGACUUGCUAGAGUAUGGGAGAGGGAAGCGGAAUUUCUGGUGUAGCAGUGAAAUGCGUAGAUAUCAGAAGGAACAUCAGUGGCGAAGGCGGCUUCCUGGACCAAUACUGACGAUCA
rnacentral:rRNA from 1 species